rnacentral:misc_RNA from 1 species
GAAAUGCGAUAAGUCAUGUGAAUUGCAGAAUUCAGUGAAUCAUCGAAUCUUUGAACGCACAUUGCGCCCGCCAGUAUUCUGGCGGGCAUGCCUGUCCGAGCGUCAUUUCAACCAUCAAGCCCCCGGGCUUGUGUUGGGGACCUGCGGCUGCCCGCAGGCCCUGAAAACCAGUGGCGGGCUCGCUGUCACACCGAGCGUAGUAGCAAUCACCUCGCUCAGGGCGUGCUGCGGGUUCCGGCCGUUAAACAGCCUUACAAAACCCAAGGUUGACCUCGGAUCAGGUAGGAAGACCCGCUGAACUUAAGC